rnacentral:rRNA from 1 species
UUGGCUCAGGAUGAACGCUGGCGGCGUGCCUAACACAUGCAAGUCGAACGGAGUUACUAGAGCUUGCUUUGGUAACUUAGUGGCGGACGGGUGAGUAAUGUAUGAGCAACCUGCCUUUCAGAGGGGGACAACAGUUGGAAACGACUGCUAAUACCGCAUAAUGUGCGAGGGGGGCAUCCCUUUUGUACCAAAGGAGCAAUCCGCUGAAAGAUGGGCUCAUAUCUGAUUAGUUAGUUGGCAGGGUAACGGCCUACCAAGACUGCGAUCAGUAGCCGGACUGAGAGGUUGAACGGCCACAUUGGGACUGAGAUACGGCCCAGACUCCUACGGGAGGCAGCAGUGGGGAAUA